rnacentral:rRNA from 1 species
GACGAACGCUGGCGGCGUGCUUAACACAUGCAAGUCGAACGGAAAGGCCCUGCUUUUGUGGGGUGCUCGAGUGGCGAACGGGUGAGUAACACGUGAGUAACCUGCCCUUGACUUUGGGAGAACUUCAGGAAACUGGGGCUAAUACCGGAUAGGAGCUCCUGCUGCAUGGUGGGGGUUGGAAAGUUUCGGCUGGUGGGGAUGGACUCGCGGCUUAUCAGCUUGUUGGUUGGGUAGUGGCUUACCAAGGCUUUGACGGGUAGCCGGCCUGGGAGGGUGACCGGCCACAUUGGGACUGAGAUACGGCCCAGAGUCCUACGGUAGGCAGCAGUGGGGAAUAUUGCACAAUGGGCGGAAGCCUGAUGCAGCAACGCCGCGUGCGGGAUGCCGGCCUUCGGGUUGUAAACCGCUUUCGCCUGUGACGAAGCGUGAGUAACGGUAAUGGAUAAAGAAGCACCGGCUAACUACGUG